GAAUCUGCCUGAUAGUGGGGGACAACGUCUCGAAAGGGACGCUAAUACCGCAUACGUCCUACAGGAGAAAGCAGGGGACCUUCGGGCCUUGCGCUAUCAGAUGAGCCUAGGUCGGAUUAGCUUGUUGGUGAGGUAAUGGCUCACCAAGGCGACGAUCCGUAACUGGUCUGAGAGGAUGAUCAGUCACACUGGAACUGAGACACGGUCCAGACUCCUACGGGAGGCAGCAGUGGGGAAUAUUGGACAAUGGGCGAAAGCCUGAUCCAGCCAUGCCGCGUGUGUGAAGAAGGUCUUCGGAUUGUAAAGCACUUUAAGUUGGGAGGAAGGGCAGUCAGCGAAUACCUGGUUGUUUUGACGUUACCGACAGAAUAAGCACCGGCUAACUCUGUGCCAGCAGCCGCGGUAAUACAGAGGGUGCAAGCGUUAAUCGGAAUUACUGGGCGUAAAGCGCGCGUAGGUGGUUUGUUAAGUUGGAUGUGAAAUCCCCGGGCUCAACCUGGGAACUGCAUCCAAAACUGGCAAGCUAGAGUAUGGUAGAGGGUGGUGAAAUUUCCUG
rnacentral:rRNA from 1 species